rnacentral:lncRNA from 1 species
AAAUCUAACUUCUAUAGCAAGUUUAAUCGGUGCAAACUCUAAAGAAUCAUGUUAACAACAUUUAGAACAAGACAUGUGAGGAGAUACAUGUAGAAAAAUGAAGAAAAAACAAUGGAAGAGAAGGUAAAGCAAAAAAUUAAUGGAGGUUUAAGGAGCACCUACUUGAAGCUCUUGUGCUCUGAUUACCACUUGAUGGAAGCUUGCUUGUGGAGCUUCUAUGGAGGCUGGAUCUUUGAGCUUC